rnacentral:rRNA from 1 species
AUUGAACGCUGGCGGCAGGCCUAACACAUGCAAGUCGAGCGGAGGAAGGGAACUUGCCCCUGGAUUCAGAGGCGGACGGGUGUGUAAUGCCAAGGAAUAUGCCUGGGAGUGGGGGAUAACGUCCGGAAACGGGCGCUAAUACCGCAUGCGUCAUGAGGGCGAAAGAGAGGGAUCAUGGGAACUCAAGCUAUCAGAAAAGGCUAGGGGGGAUUGGCGGGUUGGUGGGGUAAUGGCCUACCAAGGAGACGAUCCGUAACUGGCCUGAAAGGCUGAACAGUCACACUGGAUCGGAGACACGUUCCAGACCCCUACGGGAGGCACCAGUGGGGAAUAUUGGACAAUGGGCGCAAGCGUGAUCCAUCCAUGCUGCGGGAGUGAAGAAGGCCGUCGGAUUGUAAAGCUCUGUAGGCUGUGAGGAAGGGCAGUACUUUUGUACCGGACUAUUUUGACGUUACCAACAGAAUAAGCACCGGCUAAUUACGUG